CCUACGGGUGGCUGCAGUGGGGAAUAUUGGACAAUGGGGGCAACCCUGAUCCAGCCAUGCCGCGUGUGUGAAGAAGGCCCUCGGGUUUUAAAGCACUUUCAGUGAGGAAGAACGCCUGGUGGUUAAUACCCAUCAGGAAAGACAUCACUCACAGAAGAAGCACCGGCUAACUCCGUGCCAGCAGCCGCGGUAAUACGGAGGGUGCGAGCGUUAAUCGGAAUUACUGGGCGUAAAGCGCGCGUAGGUGGCUUGAUAAGCCGGUUGUGAAAGCCCCGGGCUCAACCUGGGAACGGCAUCCGGAACUGUCAAGCUAGAGUGCAGGAGAGGAAGGUAGAAUUCCCGGUGUAGCGGUGAAAUGCGUAGAGAUCGGGAGGAAUACCAGUGGCGAAGGCGGCCUUCUGGACUGACACUGACACUGAGGUGCGAAAGCGUGGGUAGCAAACAGGAUUAGAUACCCCAGUAGUC
rnacentral:rRNA from 1 species